UACGAAGGGGGCUAGCGUUGUUCGGAAUUACUGGGCGUAAAGCGCGCGCAGGCGGCUAUCCAAGUCAGUGGUGAAAGCCCGGAGCUCAACUCCGGAACUGCCAUUGAAACUGUUUAGCUUGAGGACGAGAGAGGUAAGUGGAGUUCCCAGUGUAGAGGUGAAAUUCGUAGAUAUUGGGAAGAACACCGGUGGCGAAGGCGGCUCACUGGCUCGUUUCUGACGCUCAGGCGCGAUAGCGUGGGGAUCAAACAGG
rnacentral:rRNA from 1 species